GUCUUUCACGAGGGAGGACCGGGACGACAUGUGGCAGGAGCUAGUAGCGCUUUUGAACGAAGAAGUCCCUGCGCGUAACACCAGGGCCCAGUGGCAGGCCCGAUGGAGGAAUGAGCGCUACUAUUCGCAGCAGGGUCUUGCCAAACUCCGAGGGCAGCAGAGCGGCACCCGAGGCGGCCAGAUUUCGGAUUACCGCGGCCGCGUCGUGCUUGACAGGGACGAGUGUGCGAGGCCCAUAGUUCGUGUGGUCUGAAUCGGUGAGCCCUGCUCCAGCUGCUACUGGUGUGGCUGAAGAGGAUGUGGCCCAGGAUCUUUCCCGUGCCCCAACUCGUAAGUUUCGCUGAUGUUUUUGAUUAACUGUAGAUGGUGUUACAUGCUCACAGGUGAUGCUCAUGCGUGCAGGCAUAUGUUUGUGAAGAGAUGACAUCUGUGGGCAUAAAGACAAAAGGCUGCACAAAAAAAAUUUGGCAAACGGUUGCAGGAGCUAGUUGUAUGCAUAACUGUCAGAUGGAAUAAACAGGUGUCCUGCCUUGCAGUUAUGGUGAAAUGUAGCAAA